ACCAAAGUGAUGUCAAAAUUGCAGCUAGUUUUAUUCAGUUUUAGCCUCGCAAUAUGUGUACAAUUCAAUGAUAACUAUACAGUUUCCACAAUUACAACGUUUCGGCCAGUAUUUUGACCAUCAUCAUGUAGUACUUAGACAGUUACUCUCAAUUCUCUGUUGUUCCCCCUCUAUUGGCCAGUGCUUACAGUUGGGGGAAGAUUGUGUUGUUGUUUACAGUGUGCCACAUGAACUUAGUUAUACUCCUAAACAACAACUGUAAAGUGUUCCGACUGGUGUGUGUUAUUCGCAAUCGAAUUGAAUUUAUUUACAUUCUAUAAAUCCUAAGCAGAGCAGGUAAGGCGUGAGGAAGUGAGGAAGGGAAAGCGAUAGGAAAGCCCUGCACUGUCAGGGGAGGUAAUUGACCUUGUGAGGCCUACACAA